CACGGACUUGUGAGCGUCAGUCCGGGAGGUUCCCAGCGCAGCUCUCCGCUCUCUCAGCUGGGCCAGCCUCUGCCUCUGCUUCUCCUCGGCCUCCACCAAAUGAAGCUCGAACGUGUCAUGACCUGCACUCAAAGAGCCAGGAAAUCGUGGACGAGCAGAUGGAGGAGUGAAGCACACACACACGUAAACACUUGCAGGUCAAUAAUGAAGGCACAGAGACGAUGGAAGACUAGGAGAACACACUGGUGAAUAACAGGAGGUGAUAUAUGUAAAGGCCAGGAGUCGGGACGCACCAAGCCGACAAUCGGCCGUCGGUGAGCAUCUGUCUGGGUUCAGUAUAAUAACUAUGGUAAAGUUUUCUUGUCUGAAUCACGUGUGUUAACAUUCGUAAACAAAGAGGAGGCACUAUCAGUCUAGUGCAGAGAAGUGGAAAAGAAGAAAGAAAGUGAGCAAGA